UGUACAGUAACAUUCAGCUCAGUAAAUGAAUCUUUAAAAAAAACAAGAAGCUUUGGAACUUGAAGAGCCUAGUGUGACCAUGCCCAUAAAGGGAUUGUUGGGUCACCUCAAAGCUUUGUUGUGUCUGAGGGUGACACAUAUACUUAUUCGGGGGACUUGUGGAAGCAAUAGAUAUCACCAAAGGGAUGAAUUUACCCUGUGAAAACCAAGUCCCAGAGAAGUGAACACAUUGACCAGUGUGAUUGGAGAGCAAACAUUUUUCCACCCUGGGCAGCAAAACACUUAUGGCCAGCUCCUGCUGACAGUGAAAGCAUAUUAGCUGAGCUCAACAGCUGCAAGAGGCAUAAGAAGGAGAAACUUUCUCAAGGGCCUGGGAACCGAUCCAUGUAGGUCUUUGAAGAUCAAUAUCA